rnacentral:misc_RNA from 1 species
CCGAGUUUACAACUCCCAAACCCCUGUGAACAUACCUAUCGUUGCUUCGGCGGGAUGCCCCAGUUUGACGCAAGCUGGACCCAGGCGCCCGCCGGAGGACCCAAACUCUUGUUUUAUUUAUGUAUCUUCUGAAUGUAAACGUUUAAGAACAUAAAUA